GGUGGCGCUAGUCAAAACUGCAGUUGCUUCCACAUAGCAGCUGUGGUCGAAAAGGAGCCCAGAGUGACAGUUUUCCUUGAUGGAUGCCGUUCUGUUUACUGUAACUAGUUUGCAACAUUUUGAGAAAAUAUAGUU